rnacentral:rRNA from 1 species
CAGAGGGUGCAAGCGUUAAUCGGAAUUACUGGGCGUAAAGCGCGCGUAGGUGGCUAAGUAAGAUGGGUGUGAAAUCCCCGGGCUCAACCUGGGAACUGCAUCCAUAACUGCUUAGCUAGAGUACGGUAGAGGGUAGUGGAAUUUCCUGUGUAGCGGUGAAAUGCGUAGAUAUAGGAAGGAACACCAGUGGCGAAGGCGACUACCUGGACUGAUACUGACACUGAGGUGCGAAAGCGUGGGAGCAAACAGGAUU